rnacentral:lncRNA from 1 species
GCCUCUGACUCCAUGCCUCCCACACACGCGGUCUGUGCAGCUAACACCAGGCGCCUACCCGGAGGACUCAGCUGUUCUGUUUACAUCGUGGCGGCACCUCUCACCCUGACCCACGCAAAGGUUCUGGAGAUUUCUGGAGAAUAUAUUUAUUAAAGCCACCUCUUCACUGAAAGUUACCAAAAGGGUCAGUUUAGGAAGUAAAUGAAGGGUCAGUGAACAGAGUCAAACGCAGAAGUGGGCUUGUUAUGGGUAGGGCUUUCAGCAUAUGAUAAAAGGAUAUUUGUUUUUUAAAGUGUUGGAAAAACUGGUUUUCCACUUGGAAAAAGUAAAGGUUGUAAGCUUUGUGUGUAAAAAAGAAAACCAUGAAGGAUUGGAAGGGAAUGCUGGUGUCGUGUUUAUAACCUUGUGGUUCGAGUCCCUCUUAACAAGGACUCCAAAGCUGGAAAGCAGGAGGGAACAAAGGUGAAAAUUAAGGCGGGGAUGCUCGGGCCCUGCAGUGCGCUCUAGGCUGUGAGUGAGCCGGGACUGUGCCCGCAGCCUGCUAAGGGCUGCUUUCUCGGGCCAGGGAAAGCGGGGCAGCGGGGGACCUGCGGCUGUGCCUGGACUGAAGCCGUCCCGCAUGUCCCCACCCUCCAGCAUGUGUUCACCUGUCCCCCUCCUCGCAGCAGCCUCAGGACAAAACAGAAUGACUCAAGGACAGCACUUCCUGCAGAAAGUCUAGAAGUGCCCAGAAUGGGAGGCACGGAAGCCCCUCCCAGGGAGGACUCUCCCUCAUUGACGGACCAUUCUUGGUGCAGACUCCUGACUGCACGCACCGAACCGUAGACAAGCGGGCAUCCAUCCAUGUUGCCCCAGAGUGCCCAGGAGGCAGGCAGCGCGGGGCGCCCAGACAGACGGGUUCAGCCUGCAGGACUGCGAGGCGACCUGUGAAACCGACCCAGGCAUCCCAACAAGAACAAAAGCGUGGUCCUGUGGCCGUGUCCACAGCAAGUUCCACUUUCACCUUGCUCAUUUCUGCAUUGUUGGAAGUGUUUACAACCAGCAUGUGCUUUCAUAAUACAACCUCAGGUAAGAAAGGAAAAAAAAUUAUAGUUGUAUCAUACCUCAAAUACGUUUUUAAGUUCUACAAUUUAAGCUACUCUAGAAUAGUUAGAAUAGUUAGAAAAUGGAAAUUUUGCUUAAUGGUGUUUCUAAUCUGAAGGGUACAAGAAUUGUGGUAGGCUCUAACUGUUGGCAUUAAUGGCAUUUUUCUUCAUAGAAACAUGCAAAAAACAACCAGUGUUAGAUUUCUAGAAUGAUCAGACCUAUGCAUAUGUACUUAAUUGUAUUAACCUUGUUGAUAAUGUUAAAUGGUAACAUAGAGUUAACCUUAGAACAUUUCCUAACAAUUGAUGUCUUUGAAACAAUUAUUUCUGAGGACAAUACAGGUAAUCUGCAGUAGCUGAAAGCAAAUUUUGGAGUAAGGUAAAUUUAAGUUUAAAUCCUCAUGUUGUCACUUAAAAAUUAUUUGACUGUUGACAGGUUAUUAAAUCUCUGUGUAUUUUGUCACAUGUGAAGUAAAGAUAAUGGAAUCAUUUUGUAUAAGUAAAAGGAAAUGUCGUGUAGUUAUUCGUUGCUCAAAAACAUACCAUGAAUCAUUGGAAGGCAGGGACUGUGACCUACUUUCCUUUUCAUCCUUUCAUCUUAGAAUAAUGUCUGCUAAGGUACUUAAUGCAUGCUCUCUGAAAAAUGAGUAAAUUAAUGAAUCUUAAUGUGUCUUUUUCAUGCCCUCAUAAAUAUGCAUGUUUAAAUGCAAUGAAUCUUACUACAUAAGCAUUGUUUGGUAGCUAGGCACUCAAUACACAUUAUUUCUACUUUCUCAAGGCAUGUAGAACUGAAUCGUAAUCAAUGAUCAAACCAUAAGUAUUCUGUAUCUUUAGUAAAGGCUGUGAAUAAAGAGUAGCAUUACUUGUUCAUUCAUUUGAACCUUUAUUGCAUGAACACUUUGCAUCAGAUAAUAUACCAGCAAAUGUACUAGUGUUGUUGUUGUUUUGGACAUUUGGAAAUUUCUGUUUGUUUUCAUGCAGAUAAAGUAUCUCGGUAGUAAUUAUUUUUUUCACAUGAACAUUUGAAAACCUGUAGAAAAGGCCGAUACCUUUUGCUCAGAGAUACCUAAAAUAUAUUACAGGGUAAUAAAAUAAAUCAACUAGAUCAAUAAGUUUGGUAUUGUUAAUUUUAAAGUAACUUUAUUUUAUAAUUGACAUGUGUAGUUUGACAAAUUAAAUGCAAUACCAAGCUUAAAAUAAAAAUACAGUGAUACUGUCCCAUCAUUCCCCAGUCUUACUUUUCUAUCCUGGGGGCAAACACUUUUGAAUCUUUCAGUUGCUUAAUUUGGCAUUUACAUAUCUCCAUAGUUUUAUAUAAUAUGUAAAUAUAGCUAUUUUGAUUUAUAAAUGUUAAUUAUUAUCAAACUUCAAGUUUUAGCAGAAGUGUGGUGAUGAAUCAGUUUUAAAUCCAUCUCUCCUAAAAACUGUAGAUAAAUAUGUAUGCACACAUAACACAUGAAGAGUGCUUACAGUUACUACACUGAUUGACUUCAUCUUCUGGUAAGUUAUAGAUGAACUCUUUCAUGAUGCCAGUUCUAUGUUUUUCCUCUUUCCAAUGCCUGCUAUUGUUAUGAAAAUUUUGGUUAAAUCGAUAUUGAAUAAACAUCAUGCAUUCA